rnacentral:rRNA from 1 species
AUCGCAUGAUCCGGUGUGAAAAACUCCGGUGGUAUGAGAUGGACCCGCGUCUGAUUAGCCAGUUGGCAGGGUAACGGCCUACCAAAGCGACGAUCAGUAGCCGACCUGAGAGGGUGACCGGCCACAUUGGGACUGAGACACGGCCCAAACUCCUACGGGAGGCAGCAGUGGGGAAUAUUGCACAAUGGGGGAAACCCUGAUGCAGCGACGCCGCGUGAGCGAAGAAGUAUUUCGGUAUGUAAAGCUCUAUCAGCAGGGAAGAAGAAUGACGGUACCUGACUAAGAAGCACCGGCUAAAUACGUGCCAGCAGCCGCGGUAAUACGUAUGGUGCGAGCGUUAUCCGGAUUUACUGGGUGUAAAGGGAGCGCAGGCGGUGCGGCAAGUCUGAUGUGAAAGCCCGGGGCUCAACCCCGGUACUGCAUUGGAAACUGUCGUACUAGAGUGUCGGAGGGGUAAGUGGAAUUCCUAGUGUAGCGGUGAAAUGCGUAGAUAUUAGGAGGAACACCAGUGGCGAAGGCGGCUUACUGGACGAUAACUGACGCUGAGGCUCGAAAGCGUGGGGAGCAAACAGGAUUAGAUACCCUGGUAGUCCACGCCGUA